AUUGAACGCUGGCGGCAUGCUUUACACAUGCAAGUCGAACGGUAACAGGCCGCCAGGUGCUGACGAGUGGCGAACGGGUGAGUAAUGCAUCGGAACGUGCCCAGUCGUGGGGGAUAACUACUCGAAAGAGUAGCUAAUACCGCAUACGAUCUAUGGAUGAAAGCGGGGGACCGUAAGGCCUCGCGCGAUUGGAGCGGCCGGUGUCAGAUUAGGUAGUUGGUUGGGUAAAGGCUCACCAAGCCAACGAUCUGUAGCUGGUCUGAGAGGACGACCAUCCACACUGGGACUGAGACACGGCCCAGACUCCUACGGGAGGCAGCAGUGGGGAAUUUUGGACAAUGGGCGCAAGCCUGAUCCAGCAAUGCCGCGUGCAGGAAGAAGGCCUUCGGGUUGUAAACUGCUUUUGUACGGAACGAAACGGCUCUGGUUAAUACCCGGGGCUAAUGACGGUACCGUAAGAAUAAGCACCGGCUAACUACGUG
rnacentral:rRNA from 1 species